rnacentral:rRNA from 1 species
UACGGAGGGUGCAAGCAUUAUCCGGAGUGACUGGGCGUAAAGAGUUGCGUAGGUGGACGAGUAAGCGAAUAGUGAAAUCUGGGGGCUCAACCUCACAGACUAUUAUUCGAACUGCUUGUCUUGAGAAUGGUAGAGGUAACUGGAAUUUCUAGUGUAGGAGUGAAAUCCGUAGAUAUUAGAAGGAACACCAAUGGCGUAGGCAGGUUACUGGACCAUUUCUGACACUGAGGCACGAAAGCGUGGGGAGCGAACCGG